rnacentral:rRNA from 1 species
UACGAAGGGUGCAAGCGUUAAUCGGAAUUACUGGGCGUAAAGCGCGCGUAGGUGGUUUGUUAAGUUGAAUGUGAAAGCCCCGGGCUCAACCUGGGAACUGCAUCCAAAACUGGCAAGCUAGAGUAUGGCAGAGGGUGGUGGAAUUUCCUGUGUAGCGGUGAAAUGCGUAGAUAUAGGAAGGAACACCAGUGGCGAAGGCGACCACCUGGUCAGAAACUGACGCUGAGGUACGAAAGCGUGGGGAGCAAACAGG